rnacentral:lncRNA from 1 species
GGCGGCAAUACUCCGACGAGUUCCAUAUAAUGGCAGAAGACGACGAUGCAUUUUCCGAUCUAGAUUCCGGCGAUUCAAUUCCUUUAUUCUUCGAUAAAAAUCGCCAUAUUUGCUAUUUAGAGAUGAUGCUUGAGCUAUUACCUUCACCUUAUCAAUCACAAGAGAUCAAUCGACUUACUCUCGCUUACUUCGCUAUAUGCAGUCUCGAUAUCCUUCGCUCUCUCGAUCGCGUAAGUAUUUGUUUCAUAAUGUAUUGUAUCGUACUGUAUUAUUAUGUUGUACUGCUUAUGUUCACUCUUACUUGUCACGUUUCGCGAGAGUCAAUUUAACUAAUUUUUAAACCUAAAAUACAAUAAAAUUCUCCGAUUAGAUCCGUACAAUGGCGAAGGAAGAUGAAGCAUUUUUGAGCUUAUCCAAUCUAGAUUUCGAUUAUUCUGCUCCUUUUUUCUUCGAUAAAAAUCGUCAUAUUUGCUAUUUAGAGAUGAUAUUGGAACUAUUACCUUCACCUUAUCAAUCACAAGAUAUCAAUCGAGUUACUCUUGCUUACUUUGCUGUAUGCGGUCUCGAUAUCCUUCGUUCUCUCCA